ACCGUGUACGUACAAGCAGUGGGAGCACGCUUAGGCGUGUGACUGCGUACCUUUUGUAUAAUGGGUCAGCGACUUAUAUUCUGUAGCAAGGUUAACCGAAUAGGGGAGCCGAAGGGAAACCGAGUCUUAACUGGGCGUUAAGUUGCAGGGUAUAGACCCGAAACCCGGUGAUCUAGCCAUGGGCAGGUUGAAGGUUGGGUAACACUAACUGGAGGACCGAACCGACUAAUGUUGAAAAAUUAGCGGAUGACUUGUGGCUGGGGGUGAAAGGCCAAUCAAACCGGGAGAUAGCUGGUUCUCCCCGAAAGCUAUUUAGGUAGCGCCUCGUGAAUUCAUCUCCGGGGGUAGAGCACUGUUUCGGCAAGGGGGUCAUCCCGACUUACCAACCCGAUGCAAACUGCGAAUACCGGAGAAUGUUAUCACGGGAGACACACGGCGGGUGCUAACGUCCGUCGUGAAGAGGGAAACAACCCAGACCGCCAGCUAAGGUCCCAAAGUCAUGGUUAAGUGGGAAACGAUGUGGGAAGGCCCAGACAGCCAGGAUGUUGGCUUAGAAGCAGCCAUCAUUUAAAGAAAGCGUAAUAGCUCACUGGUCGAGUCGGCCUGCGCGGAAGAUGUAACGGGGCUAAACCAUGCACCGAAGCUGCGGCAGCGACGCUUAUGCGUUGUUGGGUAGGGGAGCGU
rnacentral:rRNA from 1 species